GGGGGCAACCCCUUGAGAGUGGCGAACGGGUGAGUAAUAUAUCGGAACGUGCCCAGUCGUGGGGGAUAACGUAGUGAAAAUUACGCUAAUACCGCAUACGAUCUAAGGAUGAAAGCGGGGGAUCGCAAGACCUCGCGCGACUGGAGCGGCCGAUAUCAGAUUAGGUAGUUGGUAGGGUAAAGGCCUACCAAGCCAACGAUCUGUAGCUGGUCUGAGAGGACGACCAGCCACACUGGAACUGAGACACGGUCCAGACUCCUACGGGAGGCAGCAGUGGGGAAUUUUGGACAAUGGGCGAAAGCCUGAUCCAGCCAUUCCGCGUGCAGGAUGAAGGCCCUCGGGUUGUAAACUGCUUUUGUACAGAACGAAAAGGUCUCUAUUAAUACUAGGGGCUCAUGACGGUACUGUAAGAAUAAGCACCGGCUAACUACGUGCCAGCAGCCGCGGUAAUACGUAGGGUGCAAGCGUUAAUCGGAAUUACUGGGCGUAAAGCGUGCGCAGGCGGUUAUAUAAGUCAGAUGUGAAAUCCCCGGGCUCAACCUGGGAACUGCAUUUGAGACUGUAUAGCUAGAGUACGGUAGAGGGGGAUGGAAUUCCGCGUGUAGCAGUGAAAUGCGUAGAUAUGCGGAGGAACACCGAUGGCGAAGGCAAUCCCCUGGACCUGUACUGACGCUCAUGCACGAAAGCGUGGGGAGCAAACAGGAUUAGAUACCCUGGUAGUCCACGCCCUAAACGAUGUCAACUGGUUGUUGGGUCUUAACUGACUCAGUAACGAAGCUAACGCGUGAAGUUGACCGCCUGGGGAGUACGGCCGCAAG
rnacentral:rRNA from 1 species